UACGUAGGGGGCAAGCGUUGUCCGGAAUCAUUGGGCGUAAAGAGCGUGUAGGCGGCCCGGUAAGUCCGCUGUGAAAGUCCAGGGCUCAACCCUGGGAUGCCGGUGGAUACUGUCGGGCUCGAGUCCGGAAGAGGAGUGUGGAAUUCCUGGUGUAGCGGUGAAAUGCGCAGAUAUCAGGAGGAACACCAAUGGCGAAGGCAGCACUCUGGGACGUGACUGACGCUGAGACGCAAAAGCGUGGGGAGCAAACAGG
rnacentral:rRNA from 1 species